rnacentral:rRNA from 1 species
UACGGGGGGGGGCAAGCGUUGUUCGGAAUUACUGGGCGUAAAGGGCUCGUAGGCGGCCAACUAAGUCAGACGUGAAAUCCCUCGGCUUAACCGGGGAACUGCGUCUGAUACUGGAUGGCUUGAGAUUGGGAGAGGGAUGCGGAAUUCCAGGUGUAGCGGUGAAAUGCGUAGAUAUCCGGAGGAACACCGGUGGCGAAGGCGGCUUCCUGGACCGACACUGACGCUGAGGCGCGAAAGCUAGGGGAGCAAACGGG